rnacentral:lncRNA from 1 species
AUGGGGGAGCCAUUCCAGCUGUUGCAGACUAAGCUGCAUGCAAAUCUACAGUGGGUGGUACAGCUCUUGUCCCAUUAACAGAUCCUGCUCUGACAGAGUAUGUUUAGAGACUGCAUUUUGGAGGGCUGUCACAGGUCUCUUCACCUGCCAUGGAGAAGGGCAGAAAAAUGCUGGCUUGUAGGACCCCAGAUGGAUUCAGUCUGACGCUGUUCUUCAUUACCCAAUGGCACUGCCUGAACUCUGGAUGGAAAGGUUGUCAUCUUGCCUUUGGCCAGCAUCUUGCAGUUGCUACCAUACACUGGCUGUUGCACACUCUCCUCUUCUGGGUGGCAAGGCAGCAUGAGAGCAUCUGAGUGAAAUGCCCAGACCUUGUGCGUUUUAGGAUUGCUGGCUUAUGGAGGGAGACACCAAGUGCUGGGAGAGUGUGGGAAGAAACAAAUUGAAAAUCAGCCAGUGGGAAACAGAGAAGAAGGCAUUUUUACUGCACUGUGUUUACAGCUUGUGCUUUCUCAGAUCCUAAAAAAUCCACUGUUUUGCCUACAUGUCUGCAAGACAUUAUAGUUCUACCAUGCAUAUCAGUGCACAGUUAUUAAAGUAAUAGCUUCUCCAAGCUAAUGUGAUGAAAUUCAGGCUUGGAAUUGCCUGUAAAUUCCAGAAAAAUGGAAGAUUUAAUGAAAGGUUCUUCAAAUUACUAAACCUGAAUGGUGAAUUUGCAGCC